rnacentral:rRNA from 1 species
AUGUGUGGUGUAGCGGUGAAANGNUUAGAUAUCACACAAGAACACCGAUUGCGAAGGCAGCACACUAAGUCAUUAUUGACGNUGAGGCACGAAAGUGUGGGGAUCAAACAGGAUUAGAUACCCUGGUAGUCCACACUGUAAACGAUGAUAACUCGCUGUCGGCGAUACACAGUCAGUGGCCAAGCGAAAGCAUUAAGUUAUCCACCUGGGGAGUACGACCGCAAGGUUGAAACUCAAAGGAAUUGACGGGGGCCCGCACAAGCGGAGGAACAUGUGGUUUAAUUCGAUGAUACGCGAGGAACCUUACCCGGGCUCGAACGGUGCAUGAAUAUACGAGAGAUUGUAUAGUCCUUCGGGACAUGUAUCGAGGUGCUGCAUGGUUGUCGUCAGCUCGUGCCGUGAGGUGUCGGCUUAAGUGCCAUAACGAGCGCAACCCUUGUCAUUAGUUGCCAUCAGGUCAAGCUGGGGACUUUAAUGAGACUGCCACCGUAAGGUGUGAGGAAGGGGGGGAUGACGUCAAAUCAGCACGGCCCUUAUGUCCGGGGCGACACACGUGUUACAAUGGGAGGUACAGAGGCAGCUAUCCGGUGACGGAAUGCUAAUCUCCAAAACCUUUCUCAGUUCGGAUUGGAGUCUGCAACUCGACUCCAUGAAGGUGGAUUCGCUAGUAAUCGCGCAUCAGCCAUGGCGCGGUGAAUACGUUCCCGGGCCUCGUACACACCGCCCGUCAAGCCAUGGAAGCUUGGGGUGCCUGAAGUUCGUGACCGCAAGGAGCGACCUAAGGCAAAACAGGUAACUGGGGCUAAGUCGUAAACAAGGUAACCCGUAAAGGGCGAAUUNCGUAACUCG